rnacentral:miRNA from 1 species
AAUCUCACUGACUGGAAGGAAUCCCCUCCGGUUGAUGAGGUUGUUGCACCUCAUCAACCCAAAAGAAGUCCCUUCUGGUUGAUGAGGUUGUUACAUCUCAUCAAUCAGAAGGAAUUCCUUCCGGUUGAUGAGGUA